rnacentral:lncRNA from 1 species
AAGGAACAAAAACGGAUAGACUUAUUUUUUGUGCAUCGACUCCACCUGAACUGGAAAACAUAAACGACGAGAUUUUCAUUAAAUUCAACGAAUCAUUUUGACCAAUAAAAAUUAAGAACUCCCGGGCCUGCACAAAAUUUAGGAGACAUUUAAAUACACUUGCUUACAAUUCUGAAUGCAUAAAGCCCCAUAAUGGUUCGGGUGAUGAUAAAGCCACGACUCAAGCGGACGCAACUAAAACAAGGUAUAGGAAGUAAAAGACAAAAAUAACCCUGUAAGGUGGAUCCUUACAAUAACACAAAUGAAGAUGUUACGGCUUUAUCGGGGAAGUGAUGAUAUAUUUCAAGGCCAACUGUAGCGCAGACUUUAUCCUCUUCCCGCACAUAAGCAAGUGCUUCACCAAAUUGUAGUUUAUUUCCUUUUUGUUCUCUCCUAUGUACAAAAAAGAAGUAUAGAAGUAAAAUACAAAAAUACCCCUACCAGAGUAAACGGUAUAGAUCCAAUAACUCUCGCCAUGACAUUAACACCGGCCGUUGAAGGUUACAUUUCCCACAGGGCAAGGAGGCUGCGGCAACAAAGCCAAACACUUGUAAACUGAAAAGAACUUCUAUUCAUAGGUUCCACCACUUGCGCUUCUCCAUUGUCUUGACAAGUUCCAUUUGCCAUAUCUGCGAAGUUUUGUGCACCACUUUGCAGCUCUUCAGUGCGCCGGCUUAGUUGCUGGUAGAAAUAGCAUGAAAAACAUAUGGUCGAGACCAUGGAUAGUCAACUGUUGAGUCCAGCCCUCUGAUGAGUCCAAGCCCAUUUGGAUGAUUCCAAGUCCAGUAGUCAAGUCCAAACCCGAUUGGAGUUUAUAUGGAUUCCUGUACGGUGAAACUCUCGAGUUAUCUAGAACUCUUGGAGAGUCCCUUUAUCUUUUUGUUUUCUAGAUGGAUUAGGAUAAUGAUUAGGUUUUCUGGUAUGAGUCAACACCUCCUCCCUUGGUUAUAAAGGGAUGGUAUGGUGCUUAGAUUUUCUAUGUGACAUGCGUUGUGUUGUGGGCUGAGGGAAGAUUGCUGUUGAGGUGAGAUAGAGGCAAGACAGAGAGAGAUUGUGAGAGAGACGGGUGUGAGUUGAGCGAUCGAGUCUCCUCCGUUUGUAACCCACAUUCGUUUGAUAGUGGAUUGGUGACCUCCGUUGUAAUUCCAUUCGUUUGAUAUGGACUGGUGAUUCUCUACGGGACGUAGGCAUUGUUGCCGAAACACGUAAAUCUUUAUUGUCUUGUGUGAGUGUGUGGAUCCAUAAUUGGUUUUGAGACAACAUCAACUAGUUGCCUAUAUGCCAAGGAUAGAGAUACUCUAAACUUUACAACACAAAAGAACCUAAAAUGUCCUUUAAUAGUCAAUUUUUCUUGUGCCUUUUGCUCGUUGUCCAGAGUCAUGUUGCGAAACUUCAAUAGAAGCCAAUCUAACAAAACUAAGUUUAUUAAAUGUUAUUUUUUCCAUAUUAUCAUAUUAUAACUACCAAAUGAACUAAUAUCCAUAUUAUUCUCCUCUCAAAUCAACAUAGAUUUAUGACACAUAAAAAAAUGGAAGGAUGUAUUUUAGAUAUCUAGCACCUCAUAUGACUGUGUUUAGGUAAAAGAAAUAAGGAAAAAGGGGACAAGCAUGCACUGUACGUAGGGAAUAGGAUACUAUGUAAAAAUGUUAACCACCAACUCAUCUAAAAGUUUUAAGCUAUUAGAAAGAAUGACAACUUUAUUAUUUAUAUUAUUGCCAACACAUGAUGAUAGGUCAAACCUACACUAUAUGGACAUGACAACUAUAAUGACGAGACGUCAGUAUUUAUAACUCACCAUAAUAAAAGUCAUAAUGAAAGAAGUCGCGAAGGUAGGAAAUUAAUCAAGUAUGCGAUCGGUAAGAAUCUCAAGGGAAACAAAUUCAACUCUUAAACAAUAUACACACAUACAUACACACAUACAUACAUAUAUAUAGAGAGAGAGGGGGGGAGAGAAACGAAGUUGAAAAAUGUCAAAACCUAGUACUAGUUAAUAUUUUAAGAACUUAAUUAUUAUUUUCGUAUAAUUAUUUGAUUGUCUUUGUGUAGGCACCUAUUUUCGAUCUGCUUAUCCAGGUCAUUAAUCACUUAAAAUUAGAAAAAACCCAAUUAAUAAACAUAACCUGACGCAAAAGAAUAGAGUUAAGCGGAAACAUUUUUCUUUCAUUGAUAUUUUUGACGUUUAGAGCCCCUGAUUACAUGAAGAAAUGAUACGAGCAUAUUACGAGAGUUUGAAUCCUUUACCUAUAACAUGACAUCCCUACAGUGCAAACCUUUUCGAAAGAUGUCUCUCGAACUUCAGACAAACAAACUUGAAUGAUUGCAAAUUGUAAGUUUUGUGUGGCUCUCGAG